AUUGAACGCUGGCGGGAUGCUUUACACAUGCAAGUCGAACGGCAGCACGAAAAGAGCUUGCUCUUUUUGGUGGCGAGUGGCGAACGGGUGAGUAAUGUAUCGGAACGUACCCAGUAGCGGGGGAUAACUACGCGAAAGCGUUGCUAAUACCUCAUACGCCCUACGGGGGAAAGGGGGGGAUCGCAAGACCUCUCACGAUUGGAGCGGCCGAUAUCGGUUUAACUAGUUGGUGGGGUAAAGGCUCACCAAGGCAACGAUCCGUAGCUGGGUUGAGAGGACGAACAGCCACACUGGGACUGGGACACGGCCCAGACUCCUGAGGGAGGCAGCAGUGGGGAAUUUUGGACAAUGGGGGAAACCCUGAUCCAGCAAUCCCGCGUGUGGGAUGAAGGCCUUCGGGUUGUAAAGCACUUUUGGCAGGGAAGAAACGGUGCUGACUAAUACUGGGCGCAACUGACGGUACCUGCAGAAUAAGCACCGGCUAACUACGUG
rnacentral:rRNA from 1 species